CUAAAUGCAGUGGUCUUGGGUUGUCAUGUUCAAACUCUAUCAAAUUGCUCCAUACCUGAAUGGGAAAAAUAAUAUAUAAAAGAGUUAGCGACUUAAGACACAUGUGAAGCCACGACGCCUUCUAUUGGACACAUAAAAGACAAGAUUGGGUUAUUUUUAAAAAUUAACCUACAUGGCCAAGAGUGACUAUUAAUGCAAACUCAAUAAAGGUGACCUCUCAGACAUAAAAAUAUACCUCAUUAAGGUUUAUAUGAAUUCAAACUCCCAAUAAUCAUGGCCCAAAAUUAAUUCGCAGGAAUGAACAAAUUUGCAGAAUGAACAAUGUGGCCAGAAGUGGCUAAAGAUGUAAACUCAAUAAGGAUGAGCUUCAACGUAAUAUGAAACCUAUUUAUGGACUCAAGAUGCUAAGACAUGGGUCAUUGAACCACUUUUGCAAAAAUAACCCCGUUUUGCAAGAAUGACCGGUGUGACCAAAAGUGGCUAAAGAUGCAAACUCAAAAAGGAAGGACCUUAAAGUGAUAUGACACCUAGUUAUGGACUCAAAAUUCUAAGACAUGGGUUAUUGAACCACUUUUGUGAAAAUCACUCCAUUUUGCAACGAUGACCGACGUGGCCAAAAUUGGCUAAACAUCCAAGAUAUGGCUAAGGCCCCGCAAAGCUAAGAACCUAGGACUCACUAGGAAGACGAUAACCUAUGUGGGUUGCCAACAUAUCCCGCCCCGAAAUAUGAGAAUCAUGUUUGCGUAGUUCGGGAAGAUUGGACAUGGGAGAAAGCCUUGAAAAAAAUGCAACUAAUUAAGAAAAAAUAUACUUUUUGUCUUUUUGGAAAAAUGUAAAAUCUCUUUUGAAUUUUCACUUUUCAAUUUAUUUUUUGUCUUUUUGGAAAGUAAUGGAAAGGUGUACAAUCUUUUUUUUGGAUUUUCUUUUCAUUUUUAUUUUUGAAAAACCAUGAAUGAAAAUGUGAGCGGGCCCUACUUUACUUUAUAUUUCGCCUUCAAAUAUUCUUGGUCUACCAAAUGACCCAUUUACCCUUAAAGAGAAGCAACAUGUAGCACAUAGGGAUGAUAAAAUGUCUUUUUGGGCCACAAGCCCAUUUUUGACAUAAUUUGGAAAGGCCUCCUUCAACGGGACACGACGCCUGGGACCGAACCUUGCUAAGUUUAAAAUGAUAUGAUGCAAAUAAGUAUGACCUAAAGGCUGACCUACGGUUGGGUUUCACUAAACAAGGCAAUUCGGGGCGGCACGUGGUUAAUGGCGGCUGCUCUAGCUGUCCGCCCACUCCACGCUCCCACACCACCCCCCUAAAGACAUGGGUGACUCACAAAAAAGCCAUGUACGCUCAAACGUACUUCGGAAGAAUUGUUGUAGAAAGAAGAUUCAGGGUUAUGCAAAUGAUAGCCAUAAAGCAAUAAUAACAUAAAACAAAAAAUUGUAAGUACACAAGCAACUAGCAAAUAAUAACAAAAAUAUAAAAACAUAAUAAAACUCAAGUAAAGUUAAUGAAAAAGCAUAAAAACCUCAACCAAAUAUUCAAAAAGCCAACAAAAUCAAAUACUAGCUCGAACCUGCAAGUCCCCAGCAGAGUCGCCAGAGAUGUCACACCCUUUCUUUUUAAAAAACCUCACUAAACCCUCUUAAUUUAAAAUAUUUUUUAGUAAAAGCAUGAAAAGGGUUUUAAAUUGAAAAGUGACAAAAUAUGUUCAAAAGGAAAUAAUUUAGAGUCGCCACCUGACAAUUAAUUUCGGUGUGCCAAGUCACCAUUUUAAAAAUAAUUUUUCCUUUUGAAACGUUUCAGACUCUAAAACCAAGUCUGCACCAGAGAUUAGGGUAAGCGGGUUUAUUUGAAUCAGGGAGAAGGUGUUAGGCACUUUUUUUUUCCCAAGUCUCGUAACUAGUACGGUUGCACACUCAAUCUAGUUGGCUUUUAGAAUAUUCAAGUUGAGGUAAAAAUAAAAUAGAAAAGGAAAUAAUAAACACACAAAAGGCUCGAGGUCGUCCCUACCUAAUAAAAGAAAUUGAAAAGGAAAAAGAAAAUAAAAGUCCUAAGCUAACCAAUACUACGACUUCUCCACCAUGCUCGUCGAGGCCUCCAAAAUAUUUACAUAGUUCUUCAGGGCAUACCUCGGAUAAUAAUAUUUACGAACUUCACGGGGCAUUCCCCGGAUAAAUUUAACUACGGAAAUAACCUCUCGCAUCAAAUUAAAAGCAUCAAAUAGAAAAAUCCUAAGAUUGACUACCUUUUAAUUUGUUUUUUUUUCUCUAAAAUAAAAUUUGUUCUGCUGCCUAAGUAUUCUAGGAUCUCCUGCUUUGAUACCAUUAUAUCUGGAAUGUAAGUCAUAACACAUUAUACAUGGUAUAGACUCUAGAAAAAUGAUUCACCGUAAUUUAUGCUCUAUUCACAGUAUAAUUAACUAAAAUUUGCAAUUUGACUAUCGAACGAUCACUUAAAUGUUCUAAUGUGGAAAAACAUCAGAUCACUUUAAAGAGAAGACAAUACACAUCACAUGGCCAUAUAUAUCAUAAACAUAUAUAUCAAAUUCAGAAGAAUAAAGCAUGUGAAAGAGAAUUGGAUCUUAAAUUUUUCCUGCAAAUUUAAAUCAUUGGACGAACCCCCAGCAGAAAUGUUUAUCGGAGUGCGAUGGGAAAUUAGCAACAACAACCUGGACCGGAACCUUAACGACGACGGAAACUCGACAGCGAAUUAGCCCGAACUACUGUUCAUACUUGAAAGGUUUAGAGCUGUUCUUUGAGGUGUUGUUUCACUGCAUUUUUAGACUAUUUCGGGGCGGUUUGCGGCUGUCAGCUCCAUGUCCAGCGAACUGGAUGGUGAAGGUUGUAUGUGUGUAUGUUUUGAGGCAGCAGAGGGUGGUGUUUCUUGGCGAGGAGGGUAUGGUUCUGGUGGCUAUAGUGUUCGAGGUUGAAGGGUAGUCAAUGGCUGAAAGUCUGGUGUUCUUUUUGUUUGAUGGCGUGAAGGAGAUGGAGGAGGGAGCGGCAGCGGCUUCCGGCGAGCUGCUGUUUCAGUGAAGGUGGGUGCGUUUUGGUCUUUACGGUGAUGAGCGGUAUUUUAGGGUGUUUGUUUGGUGUGAAGGGGUGGUGGGGUAAGUUGAUGCGGCGGCUAGGGUUCUCUGAUCUCUAGGGUUCCAUGUUGUCUUCCACUGUUAGGGUUUCUUUAGGUCUUGUAUGUCUAAGGUUUUUUAAUGUCUCUCAAGAGAAAAAUCUGAUGGGUUCAUGGGUUUUUGGGCUUGGGUCAUGGGUCUAUAGGCUAUUUGGGCUAAAGGGGUUUGGGUUGGUUCAAAAUUGUUUAAGAAAAUUUAAAAAUGGGACUAGUUGUGGAAUUGUUCAAAUUCUUUUAACUAAAAUCCCAAAUCUU
rnacentral:lncRNA from 1 species